UACGGGGGGAGCAAGCGUUGUUCGGAUUUACUGGGCGUAAAGGGCGCGUAGGCGGCCAGCGCAAGUCAGUUGUGAAAUCUCCGGGCUUAACUCGGAAAGGUCAACUGAUACUGCGCGGCUAGAGUGCGGAAGGGGCAACUGGAAUUCUCGGUGUAGCGGUGAAAUGCGUAGAUAUCGAGAGGAACACCUGCGGCGAAGGCGGGUUGCUGGGCCGACACUGACGCUGAGGAGCGAAAGCCAGGGGAGCAAACGGG
rnacentral:rRNA from 1 species